rnacentral:sRNA from 1 species
AUUCCCUCUCACUUUCACUUACUCAGUCGCAAGCCCCUACUUCUCUCUUUCACUUUCUCUCUUUCUUUUAAUUUCUACUUCCGUUAACACUGACAUUCAUCAUUUCCGUUUCUUCUUUCUUUCUUUUGUGCAUUGCUGGUGCGUGGUUCAUGGCGGUGGUGGUUCGUAGUGGUGGUGGUUCAUGACGCUGCUGAUAGUGUAUUCGUGGGUCUCCAACAGCUUAUUACCGAGGAGCUGUGGCAAUCUUGCUGGUUUAUGAUGUUACUGAUGAAGCAUCUUAGAAAAACAAAAAGAAGAUGAAGAGCAUAGGAGAGAGGUAGGAGAUCGAUGUAGGAAGUAGAAGAUAAAGAGCUGCAAGACUGGUCUAAGAAGAAAAAGAUGAAGUAUAAGAGAGAAGGGCAAGUUAAAAUGUCGGAAGUACAUUAAGAAGGUGACCAUGGGAUGUUGCAAGAGAUGUUAUGGGCUUAUCAAAGCGGUGCAUGUCCAUAAACUGAAUCCAAUGGAAAACUAACUAGAACUUUUUCUUCUUGCACCUUCAUAUUGUUUUCUGCACCUCC